rnacentral:rRNA from 1 species
AUUGAACGCUGGCGGCAUGCCUUACACAUGCAAGUCGAACGGCAGCACGGGGCAACCUGGUGGCGAGUGGCGAACGGGUGAGUAAUGCAUCGGAACGUACCUUUCAGUGGGGGAUAACGUAGCGAAAGUUACGCUAAUACCGCAUAUUCUGUGAGCAGGAAAGCAGGGGAUAGCAAGACCUUGCGCUUAUUUAUCGUCCGAUGUCAGAGUAGCUAAUUGGUGAGGUACAGGCUCACCAAGGCGACGAUCUGUAGCGGGUCUGAGAGGAUGAUCCGCCACACUGGAACUGAGACACGGUCCAGACUCCUACGGGAGGCAGCAGUGGGGAAUUUUGGACAAUGGGGGCAACCCUGAUCCAGCCAUGCCGCGUGAGUGAAGAAGGCCUUCGGGUUGUAAAGCUCUUUCGGCCGGGAAGAAAUCGCACGGGCUAAUACCCUGUGUGGAUGACGGUACCGGAAUAAGAAGCACCGGCUAACUACGUGCCAGCAGCCGCGGUAAGAC